CCAACUUAGACCUAGUUAUGACAGUCCUGAUUCUCCACUCGGUUAUACCGGUUUUAUGCUGGGAACCUGCUGCCAGCCUACUCGUGUUUCUUCAGGAAGACCCAAGCAUGUCCCACCAAGGAAGGAUGGUCCUGGAAUACAGCACUAGACUGCAACGGGAGAGACCGGGCUUUGGUUUCCAGCUUUGUCCCAUACUUCCUGUGUGACCUUGGCAGCCUCCCUGCCAAUAGGUGCCGCGGCUCUGCUUUCACAGGUGCACGGGAGCCACACAGAGGGACCAGCCAGACCCUCCCA